AUUGAACGCUGGCGGCAGGCCUAACACAUGCAAGUCGAGCGAGUGGCGGACGGGUGAGUAAUGUAUGGGGACUGCCCGAUAUAGGGGGAUAACUACUGGAAACGGUGGCUAUUAUCGCAUACUGUCGGAUAAAUCAUAUGGGAUUAGCUAAUGGGUAAGGUAAUGGCUUACCUAGGCGACGAUCCCUAGCUGGUCUGUGAGGAUGAUCAGCAACAAUGGGAUUGAGAGACGGGCCAGACUCUUACGGAGGCAGCAGGGGGGAAUAGUGGACGAUGGGCGAAAGCCUGAUGCUGCGAGGCCGCGUAAAUGAAGUAGGCCUUGGGGUUGUAGAGUACGUUCAGGCGGGAGGCGUUUCCGACAAAAGAUGCCCCGGCUAACUCCGUGCCAGCAGCCGCGGGAAUUC
rnacentral:rRNA from 1 species